CGGGUAACGGAGGAUUAGGGUUUGAUUCCGGAGAAGGAGCAUGAGAAACGGCUACUAUUUCUAAGGAAAGCAGCAGGCGCGCAAAUUAUUCAAUGGAAACAAUUUUCCGAAAUAGUGACAAAAAAUAUCAAUGCUAGGUACUACGUAUUUAGUAAUUGGAAUGAGUACAAUUUAAAUCCCUUAACAAGUAACAAUUAGAGGGCAAGUCUGGUGCCAGCAGCCGCGGUAAUUCCAGCUCUAAUAGCGUAUAUUAAUAUUGUUGCAGUUAAAAAGACUCGUAGUUGAAAUUUGGAACUUUAUUGUAUUGGUUUAUCUUUUGAUGUAACUGUAUGAUGGGUUUCUUCCUACUAGAGUUCGAUUCUGUUCUUAGCUGAAUGGUAGUAGCUAUCUCUCGGGGUAGUCAGUUGGUGUUAUAUCUCCAC
rnacentral:rRNA from 1 species